AUGGGAGGGCUCAUCCAUUGGGAUUUCAACCCCGGCCUUAAGGUUGAGGACCAGGUUCGUAGGCGCUUCAAAUCCACGGUCCAUUUCUCCCCGGAUUCUUCGUCCAAGGAGUUUUUCUUGGUGGCAACGUUCUCGUCUGCUUCUUUUCCCUUGACUUGUGAUUUGGUUGGAUUGGCCUUACAAUGUUGCAUUGGAGAAAUUGCUUCUGGAUUCAAAGCUACUUCUAUUGGGUCAAGAAAUUUUAGGUUUUCGGUGGCUUCAAAUAAAGUUGGUCAUUUCAUAUAUGCCCUACGGGAUAGGGUUUGGCUAGACUUUGUUUGUCAAUUUGGUCUCUUCAAGCAUCCAUGGAACGUGCCAAUUAUGGAUCCAGUUGUGGGCAGCACUCCUCUUGGGGGUAAUGCCUCUAAAGCCAUCCGUUCUAAACUGCAUUUUCUUGAAAAAAGUGCAUCUAAAGAUGGCUCAGCCUCAAUAGAAUUCGCCAAGUUUGGGUUUUGCAUUCAGCGUUCUACCAACUUACUGAAUUCCUUCGACGAGGUUUCUGCUAAACCUGGAUGUUCACAAACAUUGCACCUCAUGGAUGAUUCUUCAUUCAACAAUGCACAUCCUGAGAAUUUGCAAGAGGGUCUAUUUUUUGGUAGUUUGCAUAUCCCAGUUUCUUCGGAUCAUACGGCCAUCACUACCUAG
rnacentral:rRNA from 1 species